AGCGAACGCUGGCGGUAGGCCUAACACAUGCAAGUCGAACGGCAGCACCGUAAGAUUUUGCUCUUCUGGGUUGCGAGUGGCGGACGGGUCAGGUAUAUAUCGGACUCUACUCUUUCGUGUGGGUUCACGUAGGGAAACUUACUCUAAUACCGCAUAUGCCCCUCCGUUGUAAGCAGGGGAUCUUUUGACCUUUCGCGAUUGAACUCGCCGAUGUCGGAUUUGCUAGUUGGCUGGGUAAAGGCCCACCAGGUCGCCGAUCCGUAGCUGGUCUGAGAGGAUGAUAGGCGACACUGGAAGGGAGACACGGUCAAGACUCCUAAGAGAGGCAGCAGUGGGGAAUAUUGGGCAAUGGGCGCAAGCCUGAUCCAGCCAGAGCGCGUGUGUGAAGAAAGCGUUCGGGUUGUGAAGACGGUUUGUUGGGAGAGAAAAGCAGCAGGUUGAGACGCAGCUGGACUGACGGUACCGAAAGAAUAAGCACCGGCUAACUACGUG
rnacentral:rRNA from 1 species